AACGAACGCUGGCGGCAGGCAUAACACAUGCAAGUCGAGGGGUAGCAGGAUUAAGCUUGCUUAAUUGCUGACGACCGGCGCACGGGUGCGUAACGCGUAUGCAACCUACCUUAUACUGGGGUAUAGCCCGGAGAAAUUCGGAUUAAUCCCCCAUAGUACUAAUGAAUCGCAUGGUUUAUUAGUUAAAGCAUUGCGGUAUAAGAUGGGCAUGCGUCCUAUUAGCUAGAUGGUGAGGUAACGGCUCACCAUGGCUACGAUAGGUAGGGGGCCUGAGAGGGUGGUCCCCCACACUGGUACUGAGACACGGACCAGACUCCUACGGGAGGCAGCAGUGAGGAAUAUUGGUCAAUGGGCGCAAGCCUGAACCAGCCAUGCCGCGUGCAGGAAGAAUGCCCUAUGGGUUGUAAACUGCUUUUAUUUGGGAAUAAACCUCUUUACGUGUAGAGAGCUGAAGGUACCAAAUGAAUAAGCACCGGCUAACUCCGUGCCAGCAGCCGCAGUAA
rnacentral:rRNA from 1 species